GCAAAGGUUCAUAUGCAAGCAUCUGGCUUGUGACAGACGGUGUAAGAGGAGGCCUAAACUGUAAUCCGAUGUCACUCCGAUGGAUUGAGUUUUGUGAUCUGGCUAAACUACCCAUGAUCAAUCACAUGAACAAAUCAUACAGUGAGAGGUCCAAAUACCACACAUAUCAUCCGGAUUAGUUUGUUUGUGGAGCAAAGAUUGGAUGAGAUGCAAAACUGGGGAAUAUAAGCAAGGAAGAUGAUUGCAUUAUCCACCAAGUUG